AUGCUUUUAACUAUUCUAAACAUCACUGAUUCGGCAAUAGUAGUGUGCGGAUGCUCGUCAGCGAAUUCACGAGUUAUGGUUCAUGAAUUGGCAUUGAAUUGUUACCACAAUUACAGCUUCGUAACUAUGUACGCCAGAUUGUAUCUUGUGCUGGAUUUUGUGAAUGGGGGCCAUCUUUUCUUUCAGCUUUAUCACCAAGGCCAGCUUUAUCACCCAUGGGGGCCAUUUUUGUGCAGGAAAAUGUUAAAUCAUAACUCUACAAUCUCACCAAGUGGCGCAAGGAUAAGGUGA